rnacentral:tRNA from 2 species
GGAGGGUUCGCAUAGCGGUCGAGUGCGCGCGCUUGGAAAGCGCGUAAGGUGUCAAAACCUUCGAGGGUUCGAAUCCCUCACCCUCCGCCA